AUUGAACGCUGGCGGCAGGCUUAACACAUGCAAGUCGAACGAGCGGCGGACGGGUGAUUAAUGUCUGGGAAACUGCCUGAUGGAGGGGGAUAACUACUGGAAACGGUAGCUACUACCGCAUACCAUCAGAUGUGCCCAGAUGGGAUUAGCUAGUAUGUGGGGUAAUGGCUCACCUAGGCGACGAUCCCUAGCUGGUCUGAGAGGAUGACCAGCCACACUGGAACUGAGACACGGUCCAGACUCCUACGGGAGGCAGCAGUGGGGAAUAUUGCACAAUGGGCGCAAGCCUGAUGCAGCCAUGCCGCGUGUAUGAAGAAGGCCUUCGGGUUGUAAAGUACUUUCAGCGAGGAGGCGUUACCCGCAGAAGAAGCACCGGCUAACUCCGUGCCAGCAGCCGCGGUAAUAC
rnacentral:rRNA from 1 species